ACUGCAAUCUCCUCCUACUUCGCCACUUCCCGCCACCACCUCCUCUGAGUCAGUGAGUCCCUGACCCAACCCGCCCUCUCUAAUAUUUUGAAUUUUUGUGUUCUUUCCUUUAAACUUUGAUUAAACGCAUCAGUAAUGACAGAGUUGUAAAUUUGAUUCAAUUUGGUACGAGUUUGAAUAAAGGAGGGCGAUUUUUAGCCAAAUUUAUAAAUUUGAUAUAUAGGGUUUGAGUCAAGGAUUAGAGAUACCAUGUAGAACUAUUUGGAAAUUGUUUGUUUACAUUUGUAUUGGAUGCAUGCUUGCUUGCAUUGUAUAUUGUUGUACGUAUAUGUUAAAUAUGUUUGGUUUGGUUUGGGGGUUACUUUUUGCAGAACUAAAAAUGGAGCAGAGACUGGCUAAUACCUUGAGGAUGACUGUUAAUGAGAAGAAAUUCAUCGAGACUGCUUUACUAUCGGACCUUAGAGUUGAUGGUCGCCGUCCAUUUGAUUAUAGACGGCUUACUAUCAAGUUUGGUAGGUAAGGAUGGUUAAUGUGGCAGUCCGUCUAUGUUAAUGGAGAUUUAUAAAGUAGUGCAGCUAUGUUUUAGCCUCUAGAGAUUAAGAUGCUUUUGUUUGUGUAUGUCAAUUGACUUGGGAAGAGAUUUGCCAAUGAUUUAAUUAGUCAACUGUUAUUUCUCCCAAAUGUUUUGAAUGGUUAGUUUAAGGACCCAGUCCUUUUGUUCAAUAAUCAGUGUGUGUGAAAUCCUCCUAGCUGCUUUGAUGGCGACUUAGGAGGAGAUUGUUGUACCUGGAGUGGUGGCUGUCGAGUGCGUCGUUGCCGGAGAAAAUUCGUCCGAUGAGUUGUGUCGUUUACGAAUUUCGAACGAAAUGAGAGGUGAGGUCUUGAAACCGAACGGCUGAAGGUGAGAGGUGAGGGAAUGAGAGAAACCUAACCCUAAUGACAAUAUAUAUGUAUAUAUAUGGCCUUAUAAACCGGCUGCGAGAGGUGAGGUCAUCGGCGGCGUGAGCAAGGAGAGGGGUAAGGGAGGCGAGAGCCGCUGUCUCUAAGCGAAUAGGGUUUACACUAUGUUUGGGAACUCGGAGAAAAAUAAAUGAAUUGAAUCGUUCAGUUAUUUUUCUCUCAUUUUUAUUUGAAUAAGUAUACCAUUUAUCUAUUUAUCUAUAUCUAUCAAUACUAUCUAGGGCAAUGAUAGAAACCACUAAAAGUGGUGUCUUAAAGUAACCAUUAAUGAUGUGGCAUUUAUUUUGUGUUAAAAAAAAAAAAAAAAACACAGACACAACAACAUUGUAGCCGUGGGUGGGACCCACUGCCACAUCAUUGGUGGUAGCACUAAUUAGUACUCUCACUCAUUUUCCUACUAUCUAUAUAAGUAAAUGUAGUAAUACCCUCCUUUCACAUGACUUCCUCUCUCACAUGUCUCUCUUCCCUACUUAUAUAUAGUUACACUGUUUGAUGAGUUAUUGACAAUGAAGGCAAUUCAGCAGCAGAGAUUUGCUGCGGCUUCACAGUUUAUGUCUGGAGGUUCUUUCCCCUACGACAAAUGCAUGAACAUUAUGAAUAACUCACCAAGAUCUGCGGCAGUGACAUUGAUGAUUGGGGAUGAAUACCUCAAAUUCGGUUGCUGCCGAACUGAAAGGAAUGAUUUUUCAGCUACAGGAUUCGGAGGAAAUGCGAAUUCUUGUUCUAGACAGAUUUAUUUGACAUUUCCAGCUGAUAGUACAUUUAGGGAAGAGGAUGUUGCCAAUUACUUUAGCAAGUUUGGACCAGCGCAAGGUGUGAGGAUUCCAUACCAGCAGAAGCAAAUGUUUGGGUUCGUUACAUUCCUUUACCUGGAGACUGUGAAGAUCAUUUUGGCCAAAGGGAACCCUCAUUUCGUUUGUGAUUCAUGUGUUCUCGUUAAGCCGUACAAGGAGAAAGGUAAAAUCCUUGACAAGAAGCAACAGCACCAUCAGUUGGAGAGAGGAGAAUUUUCAUCGUGUUUAAGCCCGUCUGGGAUUGACUCUGGAGGGCCCUACGAUCUCCCCAUUGGACCAAGUAUGUUUUACAAUACUCCAGAGAUAAUGUUGAGAAGGAAAUUAGAGGAACAGGCUGAAUUGCAGCAAGCUAUUGAGCUCCACGAAAGAAGACUUAUGAAUUUGCAACUUAUGGACUUGAAGAAUCAUCAUCACAGUCAUCAAUUCCAGACGAACAUGGUGCCUAACAUUCCCAUUGCCUCUCCUGCUCAACCUCACCUCCAUAUUAAUCAGAGUCUUGCGUUUCGAUCUGACGGUGUUAAUCAGGAAGCCUCAGAAGAGAAUUAUAGUAGCCCAGCUGCAUCCAAUUCUCUAACUGUUGCCACUGAACGGCAGCAGCAACAUCAACAGCAAGACGCAAAAGAAGCUUGUAAUAACAGCAAUGCCCGUGACAGUGGCGACAGCAAGGAGCAAUUCUCCAACCUUGAAGAUGCUGAUCUCCAUGAAAGUUUAGAGCACAUCCUCCCUGAUAACCUCUUUGCUUCUCCUAUAAAAUCGGCCGGUGAACACUACUCUAUUUUCUCCACUGCUUCACCAGAAGCCGAUGAUAGCACCUUAGUAACAACUACAUCAUCUAACAACAUCCCAAUGCUGCCCACCACUUCCACCCUCAAUAUGGCUUCUCUGUUAUCAUGUUCUUUCCAAAUGCCAAGGUACCACUGCUUCUGCUGGUGCUGCUGCUGCUGCUCUCUCUCUCUCUCUCUCUGACUAGAGUGAGUGAAGUUAAUUCAAAUUAGUAUUGUUGUUUACAAGGUUUUCUUCUGGGCAAGAAGCCAUUGAAAUGUAGGUGAUGGGGGUGACCAUGAUCAGCAUGUUGGGCGUUGACUUUAGCUUGGAAAAGUUGAGUAGAGCAUAUAGAAGGAAGAAAAAGUCAUCUAGCUGUAUAGCCAAACCAUACCAUCAACAAAAAAGAAAAAGAUCUGUAAGGAAGAUCUCCUCAAGAUUAUUGUCAUCAUCAAUACCAUGCUCUAGUUACAAGUAUACAUAAUGCAUGCAUAAAGGACAGAUGAACUAAUUUAUGGGAGUGGGGUCUGUCUUUAUUUUUGUACCCUCUCUGUAGUUGUAGUUGUAGUUGUAGUUGUGUGCUGGACCACACACAGUACAAUAUAUAUAGCAUAACAAAACAGUUACUAGUAACUCUUGUUAUAUUGUUAAUUUACCUUUUUUUUUCAAAAAUUUAUUAUAUAUAAUAUUGUUUA